GUUUGAAAGUGGGGCAUUGGCCAGGCGCGGUCCACUGCACUCCAACCUGGGCAACAGAGUGAGACUGCAUAUCAAAAAAAAAAAAAUAGUGGAGCAUUUACAUUCAGUCAUCAUGAGAUGGAUACUAAUAUUCCAAGAAUUCUUCCAUCUCUAUGAGAACAAGCCCAUUUUAACUUUCUGGAGGAUAAAAUAGCAUGCUGAGGAAAGCCAAAGUGCGCCAGUUUACAGACAGCUCACUCCCAGAAGCAGAGCCACCUAAUUCACCAGCAUCUGACCACUCACACCUGAAGGAGCCAAACUGAGCCCAGAAGAAUGGCCCAGCUAAGCCCAGCCUAAAUUUCUAACCAGCUCAACCCUGAGCUAGUAUGUUUCAGGAUUGUUAUGCAGUUAUAGCUUAGUAAUAUAUACACCCAUUAAAGACAGGAUUCCAGGAUUCCAGGACAGAUUGAUUACAAAUAACCUGCAAAUGCUUGGCACCCUGUAAGUAUUGAUAUUGUGUUUCCUUUAUUUAAAGUUAAAUUUGUUGUAAGAUGGUAUUGACUUAUAUAGAAGUGAGGCAAGAGAAUAGGGUCUGGAGGCAGGGAACUUAAGGCCAAUUCGUGCUGAAUUCCUAAAGAAGAAACACCAAGGUCUGGGAGCAGGGAACCUAAGGCCAAUUAACGUGAACUUCCUACAUCUAAACCAAAAGGAAAACCUCAUCUACACCUGAGUAGCAAAGGAUCAAAGGUGACUGUUGCUACAACCCUCUCCUUUGCACCAGUUCUCUGAUAGAAAAGGAGAGUGACUUGGAGUGGCCGUGGGCCAAGCACAGGCCAUGCCUUCAUCUGCAUGGGGUACCAAUUCACCUCAGCCUUUGAUUAGCCACGGACCAAAUCUUUCAUCCAGAUAAGGGGUAGCUGAUAGGGACCUCAAAAGGAGUACUUAAAACCCAGAUAACUUUGUAACCGGGUCCUUGAGCUGCUUGCUGGGGCUCACACCCAUCCCGUGGAGUGCUUUCUUGCUUUAAUAAACCCCUGCUUUUGCUGUUUCCUUCA